GCCUGCUGGAGUGGAAAGGCGGUACUGUGCAUGUGCACUCGACUGAAGCCUUCUGAAAAGGCUGAAGCACAUCCUAGGUCUCCUCCAGCAGUCAAAAUCACAUCUCCUGGGAGUGCAGAGCCACAGAAAGGUGUUUCAAGCAGCAGAUGAUGCAGCCUUAGAUUGUAAAGUGAAAUGACUUCUUCUCCAUCCCACCUUAGAAAUCAGGAGUUGGAAGUGAAAUCUUGGCUUUGCAACUUCCAUGGAAGAGUUGUUGUGACUUGGAUCAUAACCAGGAAAGAGAAACACGGCAGAGUGGAUUUCCAGCAGAGAAUGGGAAGGAGAAGGAGAUGAGAAGUUCUGAAGAGCUUUCGGCAAAGACUGAUUUCUAGCUGCUGCUCCUGGAAAUGAGCUUGCUUGGGGACCUUGCUUUGCACACAGCCCUCCCACCCCAGGCAGUAAAAGGGACAGCACAGAGCCAGGACCUGGUUCACCUCUUCCACAUUUGUUUUCCUAAACAAUGCAACAAUCACUGGAACAAGAGAUCCCGGUACUGAGCUGUGCCCAGAAAAGGUGAAAUGCAGGCAUGACCAGGACAAGUUUCCCCACCUGAAUUGCCACUGUGGUUCAGAAGUUUGGUCUGAGAAUCCCUCCUGAGGUGCUACAAAUAAUUGAAUGUGUGCUGCCUCUAGCACAUGGCCUGAGGGUGAGCUGAGGAAUAUUCCACAGGAGUUAGGAAUGCUGGCUUGGCUAAGUUACCUGCCCAGGGGGAUUUGAGGCCAUGCUCCCACUUCUGAGGAGAGGUCCUGCC